rnacentral:rRNA from 1 species
AUUGAACGCUGGCGGCAGGCCUAACACAUGCAAGUCGAACGGUAGCACAGAGAGCUUGCUCUCGGGUGACGAGUGGCGGACGGGUGAGUAACGUCUGGGAAACUGCCCGAUGGAGGGGGAUAACUACUGGAAACGGUAGCUAAUACCGCAUAACGUCGCAAGACCAAAGUGGGGGACCUUCGGGCCUCACACCAUCGGAUGUGCCCAGAUGGGAUUAGCUAGUAGGUGGGGUAAUGGCUCACCUAGGCGACGAUCCCUAGCUGGUCUGAGAGGAUGACCAGCCACACUGGAACUGAGACACGGUCCAGACUCCUACGGGAGGCAGCAGUGGGGAAUAUUGCACAAUGGGCGCAAGCCUGAUGCAGCCAUGCCGCGUGUAUGAAGAAGGCCUUCGGGUUGUAAAGUACUUUCAGCGGGGAGGAAGGCGGUGAAAUUAAUAACUUCACCGAUUGACGUUACCCGCAGAAGAAGCACCGGCUAACUCCGUGCCAGCAGCCGCCGUAAGAC